AAUAAAAGUUGAUGGGCUUGUUUGCACUUAUGCAACAUGUGGGGCUAUGUGAGGGGUAUGAGAGCUCUUUUCUCUCAUUUCUCACCCACACACCCUCUCAUAUCUUUCUUUCUCUCUCUAGAAGACAAGAAGAGGAAGAAGAAAGGAAAGGAAAGAAAGAGAAGAAGAAGGAGGUCUUCCUCAUCUUCUUCAUCUUCUCCUUGGUUGGAGCUUCUUGGAGAGGUAAGCUUCUAAGCUCUCUCUCAUGGUGGAUUUCUAGAGAUAGAUUUGAUUGCUCUAAAAAUGGAGUUUUGUAUUAUGUAAGGGCGCAGUACCUGCCAGUACAGGUAUAGAGCCAAAUGGCACUAGCGAAGUGCUAGAAGUAAUCUAUGGCGAGAAGUGAGACUCACGGUAGAGAUAGGAGUGGCGAAAUGACUCUCAGAGCAAUAUGAGUUGUAAAUUGCGAGAGUUGAGCCAUGAUGCUUAUGAUAACACCCGAGUGGCUCAAAAAUUUCGGAUGUCAUUCCGGUAGAUUGAACAGUGAAAGUAGCAUCACUGUUGAGAGAACGGUCGAUUAGUGGCCAUGUUUGAGCACGUGAGCCUAGUAGUACCUCAAGGUGAGGUUGUGCUUGUGUAGUCGGUGUGCAUAGGCAAGAUUGCCUAAUGCUGGACUUUGUGUGAAGCGCUGUAGAGGCGUAGAGCGCUCGAGUGUAGAUACCCGUAGAGUGCUGAUGUGGAUUCAGCCGAGAGAGUGUAUUGGCAGUAGCACUUGAGCAUUGCUAGGUGUGAAGCGUGCCAUGGAUCACUCGUGGGACUGGUGACUCGCAUUAGGUGCAUAGGAGUCGAUAUUGGUACGUGUGACUCGGUAGAGUAUGUCGUGUAGGACGACGACGGCGGGUAGUGCUUGGGGACGACCCGUGCCUGGGCCAUUUGUGGACUGUGGAGCCUGGGCCCUUUGGGCAGGCGCAGUCAGCUGUGAGUGACAGCGGCCCGGUACCUACGGGUAGGGCAGAGUUCUAGUCAGGACGAUAGUCCGAGCUUAGACCCGGGAGCGUGGAAUGCCACGCGAUAGAUUGUAUGACCGAUGAUACACCG
rnacentral:lncRNA from 1 species